rnacentral:rRNA from 1 species
GACGAACGCUGGCGGCGUGCUUAACACAUGCAAGUCGAACGAGAGCGUAGAGAAAGCUUGCUUUUUCUACAAUCUAGUGGCAAACGGGUGAGUAACGCGUAAACAACCUGCCCUACGGAUGGGGACAACAGCUGGAAACGGCUGCUAAUACCGAAUACGUUCCGAAAGUCGCAUGACUAUCGGAAGAAAGGAUGGCCUCUAUUUAUAAGCUAUCGCCGGAGGAGGGGUUUGCGUCUGAUUAGCUAGUUGGAGGGGUAACGGCCCACCAAGGCGACGAUCAGUAGCCGGUCUGAGAGGAUGAACGGCAACAUUGGAACUGAGACACGGUCCAGACUCCUACGGGAGGCGGCAGUGGGGAGUAUUCCGCGAUGGGCGAAAGCCUGACGGAGCAACGCCGCGUGAGUGAAGACGGCCUUCGGGUUGUAAAGCUCUGUUAUACGGGACGAAUAAUCUUGUGGUUAAUACCCAUGAGAAGUGACGGUACCGUAAGAGAAAGCCACGGCUAACUACGUG